rnacentral:tRNA from 1 species
ACCUAGCUGGCUCAGUAGGUAGAGCAUGUGACUCUUGAUCACAGGGUGAUGAGGUCCAGCCCCAGGCUGGGCA